rnacentral:tRNA from 1 species
CGACCGCGGCAGGAGUCGAACCUGCAAUCUCUAGAGAAUGUGAUUUUGUAUUACGAUCCCAGUUCUUAUGUCAUGUGUACCCCAUAGUUUCCACCAAUCAGAUAGAGUCACUAUGCGCUACUAGAUUAAACCAAUAAGCGCCAAGUACGGAUUAACGCCAAGAUUAAGCGAUUACCAGCGACUCUUAAGAAUCACUGGCGAUCAUCAGAAUCACCUAGUGAUCCUGAUACAACUCAGCGACUACUCCUAGUAUAUAUACAUUCCUUUAGCCUUAGUUAGUACCUUUAGCUCGACAGCUAUCAAUAAAACAUCUUUACCUGAAUACGCCUAACCCGCUCUAUUCACUAUUAAGAGACGUAACACUUCGCUUUGCUCAGUACUGCGCCCUACGACUCUGCCAACAUAAACUUAGAACGGACUAGUUUAUCCCUUAGAAAACCCAACCGUCACAUUUUGGUGAACCGAAAUCUAGCGCCUUAGCCAUUAGGCCACGCGGCC